rnacentral:rRNA from 1 species
GAUGAACGCUAGCGGCAGGCCUAAUACAUGCAAGACGAACGGUAAGUUGAGUAGCAAUACUUGACCUAGAGUGUCGCACGGGUGCGUGACACGUAUGCAACCUACCCAUAACAGGAGGAUAGCUCCCCGAAAGGGGAAUUAACCCUCCAUAGUAAUAUUGGAUGGCAUCAUUUGAUAUUUAAAACUGAGGUGGUUAUGGAUGGGCAUGCGUCUGAUUAGUUAGUUGGCGGUGUAACGGACCACCAAGACGAUGAUCAGUAGGGGAACUGAGAGGUUGAUCCCCCACACUGGCACUGAGAUACGGGCCAGACUCCUACGGGAGGCAGCAGUAGGGAAUAUUGGUCAAUGGAUGGAAGUCUGAACCAGCCAUGCCGCGUGCAGGAAGAAGGCCUUAUGGGUUGUAAACUGCUUUUGCCAGGGGAUAAAAUAGCUGUGCGCAGCGAAUUGCAGGUACCUGGUGAAUAAGCCACGGCUAACUACGUGCCAGCAGCCGCGGUAAUACGUAGGUGGCAAGCGUUGUCCGGAUUUAUUGGGUUUAAAGGGUGCGUAGGCGGCCUUGUAAGUCAGUGGUGAAAUACUCCAGCUUAACUGGAGGGGUGCCAUUGAUACUGCAGGGCUUGAGUAAAGUUGAAGUUGGCGGAAUUGACGGUGUAGCGGUGAAAUGCUUAGAUAUCGUCAAGAACACCGAUAGUGAAGACAGCUAACUAAGCUUUAACUGACGCUGAGGCACGAAAGUGUGGGGAUCAAACAGGAUUAGAUACCCUGGUAGUCCACACUGUAAACGUUGAUGACUCGCUGUUGGCGAUACACUGCCAGCGGCCAAGCGCAAGCGAUAAGUCAUCCACCUGGGGAGUACGCCGGCAACGGUG